CCGGAUCGUACAUCCGGGCCUCCGGGGUUUAGCGUCCAGAAGCCGCCGCGGGCGGGGAGGUUUCCCGCGAAGGCCCGGGACUGCGGCCCGGCUCGGGGGCGGCGGCCCCGGGUGCCCGGGCGGCCCUGGGCCUGUAGGUGACCUUUACACAUGAAGCUUUUGGGAAAGAUGAUUUCAAAAUGGGUGAUAAAAAUUCAUCGGGAUCCUGGGAAGACGCCGUUCCUGGCACCCCCGACCCUGGAUCUGCUCGUCUCUAGACCUCGGCGCUCAAAUGUGCAGAAAUAGACACCAUGGACUUUUGUUGACUGUUUGGCGGUGACAGCAUAGAAGAAAAAAGUUUUGGCUGGAAAGCAAGAAGAGCUCUCUGCAGUCUCACAGUUCUUGAAUCUUGCAAGAGGGAAGAGAUUGCAACACAUCCAGGAACGAUCUCACCCUGAAGACACUUGAAAUAAGAGAGAACAGAGAGGACAGUGGAAGAAUGAGGUCGUUUAGAGCACGCUUGGAAGCCCGACUGGGAGCCUCUUUGGUCAUUUAGGAACCAACAGAAGGCAGCAGACUCUUCGGGGAGGAGGUAGGAAGUCACCAUUCUCAAAAGUUAGAGAGGUAGGGACAGGAUCCAUAAAAAGAUAGAAGUUUCCUCCUCUAGCGAUUAUCCCACCUUAACACAUGUUGGCUGUGUCACUUGGGUCUCAGUGUUUUUCCUCUAAAGAAGGGAGGAUGGUUGAGAAGUUCCAUUAACUCCAUGCUGGAAACCACAUACUUAAACAAAAAAAGAUAAUUAUCAUUCGCUUCUUUACUUCAGCUACUGACCAAGAUAAAGUAUGACAGUUCAUCUAAAAAAUUAUAUGGUGCUCAGCGAGUACCAGAUCAUUGCUACCUAGUAUCCUAUUUAAAUCCAUUCUUUAAAACGCGCUCAGCGGGUCAAGAAGCUUUAGAAGGUAGACCAUCUCACACCCAUUCCCAUCAGCUGUAAAGAAAACGGCAGUGGGCCGGUCUGAGGCUGAAUUGGAAACAUUGGUCAAGGCAAAAAGCAAAGUCCGAACAUCAGGGAUCCAGCGGGGUGGGUGUUUUGCAGCACAGCGUGAGGGAAAACAGAACUAAGAAUCAUCUAUAUUCAUCAUCCCUGUAUGAGCAUCAUGCCACAUAUUCCAAGAUGGCUCCGCAGAAAAUAUACCAAAGAAGACAGCUGAAACGUUCGUUGGUAAGUUAUUGGCUUCGUAUAAUAUGCAUUUAAAGGGAGCUACAAACACAAAGGCAGAUGUGUAAUAUACGGCUGGCACAGUUUUUAUUUUCUUAUACAUCUUGCUACUGUCUGGGGGCAAUGCUCUAGCGACCACUGAAAUAUAAUAGCUGCUUUCUCUCUCAGUACACAAUUUGACAGCAUUUAUUCUUUCCUUCAGUGAACAUAAUUACUUCACAUAUGGAACCUGUGAUAGCCUACAGGCAUCUGAAAGAAACCAGAAUCAUGCAAUCUGUCCCCUUUGUGAGCUUAAUUUACAUUCACAAGUGUCAUUUUAUUAGGGCUGGCAUCAUGUAGGAUAAAAAUUACAGGUCAGCUCUGGCAUGUCACUGGAAAGUGUGCUUAAGUCAAUAAUGUGGUGUUAUUACAUUUGGGAUAAUUUUACAAGGGAGAUCUCACAGGAGGAAUCUGACCUUUAUUUCUUAGUUUUCAGCUUUACGACUACCCACAAGGUAAUUCAUUUAGAAAUGAGUACUGUAACCAAUAGCUUAGCCUGCUGUAAAUAUUUGUGCUGUGCAUCAUCCCCUUCGAUAUACCUUUGCAGCAUCAUCUGCAGUCUUCAUGGACACAGAAGUUACCUUGCUAACUAUUAGAAGUGGGCAUGUUAAGAGUGUGUAAUUAAAAUGAUAUCAAUCAGAAGCCUGUGCCCUUUUUUCUGGCCUGGUUGAAAGUAGAACUUAAGAAGAUUGUGUUACUGACACUUUCCAUCAUUCUGUUGGCUUAAUAGAUGUUCCCUGGGGAUGGGUAGUGUAAGGCGAGCUGUAGGAACUGUAAUGGGUCACUGUUCCUUUGUUUAAACAGUGAGAUGGUCUUGAUGUAAUUCUUCCCAUUUGGUUCCCUCCUCUGUUGAUGAGGUCAGAGGUUAUUUUAAUGCAAGGAGUUCGAGAUGGUCAGUGGAGGCUGAACCAUGAUUUCUUCAUGAUUUCAUAGUCCUUUCUGAAAGAUGUGGCUUGACGAGGAGCUAAUCCUAAUUCUUGAAUGGUGAGGAUGAUACGUACUGAGUAAUAAGCCCAGCCAGGGCAAGCCUUCAGCACAGUUGCUCAAGACUUAAGUUCAUCGCACUGGGGACAGGGUAGGGAUCAGCGGAUCAAAGGAGAACCCACGCUGAGGCUAUGGAAGGACAGCGUUCAGGAUGGAGAUUCACACGCUGAACUAAAAGCAGAAUCAUUGAGGUCCAGGCAGGCAAGAAAUCACAGGAAGCGUGGGAUAAUUUUUUAAGAGGGUACAGGAGCUGUGCAGAUCAUAAUAAGUCUUUGGGAUUAGAUUUGUUUACCAAAAUACUUCUUUUUAAGACUGAUUUAGGCCUCGGUGGAUCUUUUAUUUAUUUAUUUAUUUAUUUUUGCUUUGUUGGGGCCACCCUCAGAGCAUAUGGAGGUUCCCAGGCUAGAGGUCAAAUCGGAGCUACAG